rnacentral:rRNA from 1 species
UACGAAGGUCCCAAGCGUUGUCCGGAAUUAUUGGGCGUAAAGAGCUCGUAGGCGGCUUGUCACGUCGGGUGUGAAAGACCGGGGCUUAACCCCGGUUCUGCAUUCGAUACGGGCUGGCUAGAGUGUGGUAGGGGAGAUCGGAAUUCCUGGUGUAGCGGUGAAAUGCGCAGAUAUCAGGAAGAACACCCGUGGCGAAGGCGGUUCUCUGGGACGGUACUGACGCUGAGACGCGAAAGCGUGGGGAGCGAACAGG